GAUGAACGCUGGCGGCGUGCCUAAUACAUGCAAGUAGAACGCUGAAGGAAGGAGCUUGCUCUUUCCGGAUGAGUUGCGAACGGGUGAGUAACGCGUAGGUAACCUGCCUGGUAGCGGGGGAUAACUAUUGGAAACGAUAGCUAAUACCGCAUAACAGUAGAUGUUGCAUGAUAUCUACUUAAAAGGUGCAAUUGCACCACUACCAGAUGGACCUGCGUUGUAUUAGCUAGUUGGUGAGGUAACGGCUCACCAAGGCGACGAUACAUAGCCGACCUGAGAGGGUGGUCGGCCACACUGGGACUGAGACACGGCCCAGACUCCUACGGGAGGCAGCAGUAGGGAAUCUUCGGCAAUGGACGGAAGUCUGACCGAGCAACGCCGCGUGAGUGAAGAAGGUUGUCGGAUCGUAAAGCUCUGUUGUAAGAGAAGAACGAGUGUGAGAGUGGAAAGUUCACACUGUGACGGUAUCUUACCAGAAAGGGACGGCUAACUACGUG
rnacentral:rRNA from 1 species